rnacentral:lncRNA from 1 species
AGUGAUGGAUGGUGUCAGGAGGUGGAUGUGGUCCUGGUGUGGAGAAGGCCCCACUUUUUUCCCUUAGCUAGUUGUCUAGUAAGAUAUUUCUCGGGGCUGGUGAGAUGGCUCAGUGGGUAAGAGCACCCGACUGCUCUUCCAAAGGUCCAGAGUUCAAAUCCCAGCAACCACAUGGUGGCUCACAACCAUCUGUAACAAGAUCUGACUCCCUCUUCUGGAGUGUCUGAAGACAGCUACAGUGUACUUACAUAUAAUAAUAAAUAAGUCUUUAAAAAAAAAAAGAUAUUUCUCCUUACUUUCAUAGUAGGAUCUUUGGUUACUUCUUUGUUCCUUUUGUAGACAGAAUUGAGAUUUUUGUUUUUCACCGACUUUGGGGUUUUUUCUGAAAUAUUUUAGACAUAUUAAAAGAUAAUUAUGUAUGGAAGACAAUGAAUACCUGUUUUAAAUAAAAUGUUCUAAACUUGUAUGUGAAUACUCAUAAUAUAGUUCUUUAAGGCACUGAUCUUUAAGUGAUAUAUACCCUAAAAUAUUUCAAACUAAUAGUUAGCCAAGCAUAUGGUUAAGUUUAUAGUUAUGAUGGGCUACCAAGAGAUUCUGUCACUAUUAACAUUUUAUGUAUAAAUAAGAACAUAUAUUAAUUAACAGGCAUUUAAACACUUGGUCUCCAGGUGUGCUGUUUGAAAGGUGUGGCCUCGCUAGAGGAACUGUUACUGGGGGACAGGGACAGGCUUUGAGGUUUCAAAGGCUUAUACCAUUUCCAGUUUGCUCUGUAUUUAUUGAAUAUACUAUUGUAUAAUGUAUAUCAUAUUGUAUAUAUUGUAAUAUAUAUAAAAAUAUUUAUUGGAGGUAAAAUGAGAAAACUGAGAAGCAUGUAUUCCACAUGUGUGCUCUGUGGAGGACAUUUCAUAUUCAGAUUGUAACCGUAGAUGUUAUGGCUGGAGUUCUAACUCUCACAGCUAUGGAGAUAAUAUACAGUAGGAGGUAGCUGAGUGGUGAACAAGAGACAGAAUCAGCCAGGCAUGGCAGUUCCUACAGAGGCAGGAGGAUUGCCACAAGUUUGAGGCCAGACUGUGUCAUGCUCCAUCCCUGGUGAAAAGGGAGCAGAAUUAACAAACUGCCCCAGAUUACCCUUGGACAUGAAGGGAAAUAACGGGAUUUAGGGGCAGCAAGAUGGCUCGCUCAGUGGUAAAGGUGUUUCCUGCCAGGUCUGAACACUGAAUCCCCAGGAAGGAGUGCUCCAGCGUCAGAAAGCUGUCCACCGAUCUCCGCAAGGGUGCACGACCCAUGCACACACCCACCCACACACACACAGAGAAAACAUUGCCAGGAUGAGGGUCAUUUUAGACACUGUAAUAGUUUGCAUAUUGCACAUCUGUGAUGCUUUGAGUUAAUUUUGUUAAAAGCUAAGAUUCGUUUGCAGAUUUUUUUCAUGAUUUUUGGCUUGUUCUGCAUCAUGUACUGAAAGAGCAUUUUCCAGUGAAUUGCUUUGAUGCUUUUCAGAGGUCAGUGGGUUGUGUUUGCAGGGCCUAUUUGUGAACUUAAUUGUAUUCUGUUGAUUCACUGAUGUGUUAUUUCAGAAUCAUACCAUCUCGGUUGCCAUAGCUUACAUUAAGCCCUGAUGUAAACGAUGCUGGGGGAAUAGAGAGUUCUGCUGGAAUAUGUUUUCUUUUUUGUUCUGUGGGGGGGUCUUUUUUUUUGUUUUAGGGUCUCACUAUGUAACUCACGUGUGGGAUUUAUCUUCUGCCUCUGUCUGCUUGCUGAGAUUCUAGGCAUAAUUGCUCUGUUUCAUUUUAAGGAGUCAUUACAUUAAAGAUUAUUUCUUUU